UCAAGAAAGAAAGGGCGCCAGGUGGAUGCCUUGGCACAUGAAGACGACGAAGGACGUAAGUGAACGAAAACUAGGGCAAGCUCACAAAAAGCCAUAACCCCUAGGACUCCGAAUGGGGAAACCCGGCUGAUGAAGAAUCAGUCAUCAUUAAGCGAAUACAUAACUUAAUGAAGUAAGACCCUGCGAACUGAAACAUCUAAGUAGCAGGAGGAAAAGAAAGAAAACUCGAUUUUCCAAGUAGCGGCGAGCGAAAAGAAAACAGCCCAACCCAAUAAGAAAUAUAAGAGCAAGUCGAAUCAUUUGGGAAAAUGAACCAAAGAAAGUGAAAGUCUUGUAGAUGAAAGCUCAAAUAUUUUUGGGAGCAAGUAGCAGUGAACACGAGGAAUUUGCUGUGAAGACAGGGGGCCCAUCCCCUAAGGCUAAAUACUAACAUGUGACCGAUAGCGAACAAGUACCGUGAGGGAAAGGUGAAAAGAACCCCGCAAGGGGAGUGAAACAGAACCUGAAACCUAGUGCCUACAAGCAGAGAGAGCUCUAAAGAGUGAUCUCGUACCUUUUGUAGAAUGGGCCAGCGAGUUAUCAUAUCAAGCAAGAUUAAGUAUUUAAGAUACGCAGUCCAAGCGAAAGCGAGUCUUAACAGGGCGAGUAGUUUAAUAUGAUAGACCCGAAACCGGGUGAUCUAUCCAUGGUCAGAGUGAAGGUGAAGUAAAAUUCACUGGAGGCUCGAACCGGGUGCGGUUUAAAACGCAUCGGAUGAACUGUGGAUAGGGGCGAAAAACCAAACGAACCCGGAGAUAGCUGGUUCUCCUCGAAAUAGCUUUAGGGCUAGCCUAUGACUAAAGAUUUUAGGAGGUAGAGCACUGAAUGGCCUAGGGCGGCAUACCGUACCAAAGCCUAUCAAACUCCGAAUGCCAAAAAAUCAGGUCAUGGAGUCAGACUUAGAGGGAUAAGCUCCUAAGUCGAAAGGGAAACAGCCCAGACCGACAGCUAAGGUCCCAAAAUCUGGAUUAAGUGGAAAAGGAUGUGAACCUACCAAGACAACCAGGACGUUGGCUUAGAAGCAGCCAUACAUUCAAAGAAUGCGUAAUAGCUCACUGGUCAAGUGGGUUUGCGCCGAAAAUAAACGGGGCUAAAAUCCAGUACCGAAGCUUCGGAUUGAUAGAGAAUUUAAACCUAUCACAUAAAGGAAACCAUAAAAAAGGAAAAAGAAAAAACUUAACUAGGAAAUAUUAAAACACACAAUCAAGAUAAAACGAGUUAUCAAAAGCAGGCCCGUCCGGCCAAUAGAGGACAUUUCGUGUCUCCACAUCAUGAGACCCACGGAGUGGCGUCAGAGGUACGAACGAGUCAGCUAAACAAAUUACGCAAAUAUCAAACAAAGAUAAAGGUAAGAUCGUCAUACUAAAAAAAACAAUGACAAGAUAACUACGAUAUCACCGAAAAAAACAGACAUACAAAAAAGUAUGACCCUGGUUAAGCGUAUUCAAAAACCAAAAAAGUGGUUACUUAUGUAUAGAUUUAAACUCUCUAUCAGUGGUAGAGGAGCAUUGUAUUAGGGAAGAAGCCUAAGCGAAAGCAAGCGUGGACUUAAUACAAGAGAGAAUGCUGGCAUGAGUAGCGAGAAGGAGAGUGAGAAUCUCUCCCGUCGAAACCCUAAGGACUCCUGAGCAAGGCUCGUCCCCUCAGGGAAAGUCGGGCCCUAAGGCCAGGCCGAAAGGCGUAGCCGAUGGACAACAGGUUUAGAUUCCUGUACCGCUUAAAGUCGCUAAAGAGACGUGAUGACGCAAGAGGAUAAGCUAGCUGCCCGAUGGAUGGCAGUCUAAGCACAAAGGCUGAUUAGUAGGCAAAUCCGCUAAUCAAAAAGCUAAUGUGUAAUAGGCAUCGAAAACAUAAGUAGAGAAAUAGCCGACUUCAAAUUGCCAAGAAAAGUCACUAUCAAGACCAAAGCGCCCGUACCAAAACCGACACAGGUAGGGAGGUAGAGAAUACCAAGACGCGCGGAAGAACCUUUGUUAAGGAACUCGGCAAAAUGUCCCCGUAAGUUAGCGAGAAGGGGAGCCUGAGCGAUCAGGCCACAGAAACCAGGCCCAAGCGACUGUUUACCAAAAACACAAGUUUCUGCAAAAUCGAAAGAUGACGUAUAGGAGCUGACACCUGCCCGGUGCUGGAAGGUUAAGGGGAAGGCUUAGCGCAAGCGAAGGCUAGAACUUAAGCCCCAGUAAACGGCGGCCGUAACUAUAACGGUCCUAAGGUAGCGAAAUUCCUUGUCGGGUAAGUUCCGACCCGCACGAAAGGUGCAACGAUUUGGGCACUGUCUCAACAAAGGAUCCGGUGAAAUUGUAGUAGUCGUGAAGAUGCGACUUACCCACGCUAGGACGGAAAGACCCCGUGGAGCUUUACUGUAGGCUGAUAUUGGAUUUUGAGAUUAGACGUACAGGAUAGUUGGGAGACAAUGAAGUGUGUACGCCAGUAUACACAGAGUCACCCUUGGGAUACCAACCCUCUAAUAUCAAAAUUCUAACAUUGACCCAUGAAUCUGGGCAAUGGACAUUGUCAGUUUGGCAGUUUGACUGGGGCGGUCGCCUCCCAAAAAGUAACGGAGGCGUUCAAAGGUUCGCUCAGAAUGGACGGAAACCAUUCGCAGAGUACAAAGGCACAAGCGAGCUUAACUGCGAGAGACACAGCUCAAGCAGAGUAGAAAUACGGACUUAGUGAUCCGGUGGCACCGCAUGGAAGGGCCAUCGCUCAACGGAUAAAAGCUACCCCGGGGAUAACAGGCUUAUCUCCCCCAAGAGUCCACAUCGACGGGGAGGUUUGGCACCUCGAUGUCGGCUCGUCUCAUCCUGGGGCUGAAGUAGGUCCCAAGGGUUGGGCUGUUCGCCCAUUAAAGAGGCACGCGAGCUGGGUUCAGAACGUCGUGAGACAGUUCGGUCCCUAUCCAGCGUGGGCGUAAGAAAUUUGCGAGGAGCUGUCCCUAGUACGAGAGGACCGGGAUGGACAUACCACUGGUGUACCAGUUGUUUCGCCAGAAGCAUAGCUGGGUAGCUAAGUAUGGCAUUGAUAAGUACUGAAAGCAUCUAAGUACGAAGCAACCCUCAAGAUAAGAUUUCUAAAAGAAGGUAAAGAAAAUACCUUAGAUAGGUCCAAGGUGUAAGUACAGUAAUGUAUUAAGCUAAAGGAUACUAAACUUUAAAUCUUGACUGG
rnacentral:rRNA from 1 species